rnacentral:sRNA from 1 species
AGACCCACGACACGGACAAGGAGCACAAGUGCCCACACUGCGACAAGAAGUUCAACCAGGUAGGGAACCUGAAGGCCCACCUGAAGAUCCACAUCGCUGACGGGCCCCUCAAGUGCCGAGAGUGUGGGAAGCAGUUCACCACCUCAGGGAACCUGAAGCGGCACCUUCGGAUCCACAGCGGGGAGAAGCCCUACGUGUGCAUCCACUGCCAGCGACAGUUUGCAGACCCCGGCGCUCUGCAGCGGCACGUCCGCAUUCACACAGGUGGGUGGUGAGCGGCCAUGCCCAGGACUGGGAGGGCACGGAGAGGAGCAGGCACCAACAACUUCUGCCCGGUCCCCAGGUGAGAAGCCAUGCCAGUGUGUGAUGUGCGGUAAGGCCUUCACCCAGGCCAGCUCCCUCAUCGCCCACGUGCGCCAGCACACCGGGGAGAAGCCCUACGUCUGCGAGCGCUGCGGCAAGAGGUCCUGCCCCCUCCCCCACACCCACUGGCCAGACACCCCACAGUGAGGGGGCUCAGAAGACAAACUGGGGGCUUGGCUGGGGACUGAGCUGACUGCUGCCCACGCCCCAGGCUCUGGUCCUAGGGGUCCUUUUCAGUCUAGAGGGUGAGGCAGGAGGCC